rnacentral:rRNA from 1 species
UACGUAGGCAGCGAGCGUUGUUCGGAGUUACUGGGCGUAAAGCGUGCGUAGGCGGCAGUCCAAGUCUGGUGUGAAAUCUCCCGGCUCAACCGGGAGGGUGCGCCGGAAACUGGGCUGCUGGAGUGCGGGAGAGGCAAGCGGAAUUCCAGGUGUAGCGGUGAAAUGCGUAGAUAUCUGGAGGAACACCCGUGGUGCAGACGGCUUGCUGGACCGUAACUGACGCUGAGGCACGAAAGCGUGGGUAGCAAACAGG